AAAAAUCCUGAAUUCGGUUCAAUUCCUAGAACAAGUUUCUUUUUCUUUUUCCAGGUAAAUUUAAACAUUUUCUCUGUAUAUUCCUGCCAGAAAUAGUUGAAUAAAAAUAGGUGUGUGAGUACGAAUUUUAGAUGGUAGUUGUUUUAGGUCAAGUCAAGCACUGAACCCAGCCUGUGAUUAAAGACAUUUCAUUCAUGGCCCCAAUUUCUACGCAUCCCAUCCAUCAAUAUGUCCUAGAACAAGUUUCUUUUUCCUUUUCCAGGUAAAUUUAAACAUUUUCUCUGUAUAUUCCUGUCAGAAAUAGUUGAAUAAGAAUAGGUGUGUGAGUACGAAUUUGGAUGGUAGAUGUUGUUUUAGGUCAAGUCAAGCACUGAACCCAGCCUGUGAUUAAAGACAUUUCAUUCAUGGCCCCAGUUUCUCCGCAUCCCAUCCAUCAAUAUGUCCUUCGGUCUCAUCUUUUUAAAAUCCGAUUGUAUUAUUAUUUGUAUAUUAUUUGAGGAAGAUUUAACCAUUAUCGCGCAGAUGGACAACCACGUAGGAGCUCCCUCGUAAUCCGGUUGGUGUGUGUGCGUAUAUAUGCUUCCCUUCCAUAAGGUGAGCAAAGGAUGAAGAAACAGACGGGAAGACGGUUUAGCCAAAUGUACCUGGUCUCAAAGGUGGGGCCUUAGUUCGGUAAACCGUUAAAUAGAGAACAAGUGCCAAGGUGUAUGUCAAAAGGCCGCAUAUUAUACCAACGACAUUGAAUAUCAAGGCCCUUUUGGACUGCUUCUUCGCGGUAUCCGUGUCGCCGAGUUGCCAGGCAUAAUUCGAUUUUAGUCCGUAAUGUCUGCCAAGGAGACCAAAUAUGAAAUUACAAGCGAGAAUUACAAAACAAGAGGUGUUGACGAAGUCCUUCGGUUUCUCGGACUGCUUGCUUCCUUGGACCACAACCGGGGCAGUCGUUUUGUCAAGGUUAACGUUGUUGUCCCUUUUACUGUACUCGGCGGCCCUGUAUUUUUCGGAAGGGUCUACGACGAUGCUGUGUGACACAGUCGGGGCCGUUGUGUGUACUUCUUCGUGGCUGAUAACAGGGGCCGAUGCGAAAUCAUGCGGAUUUCUCUCCAUAACUGCUUCCUUGCUUUCGACCUGCGGUAUGAAAAGCUGUCCCACUUAGUUCUAUUCUUUAUAUAUAUAUAUCAGAGUAUUUCACUCCAGCCGUCCGCUUUUGUGUACUGUGUCAACAUGACGGUACUCACGUCACACCUUAAACACACCUGUAUACGUGCUUCUAUGUAGAAAUACCUAUGUAUACGUAGGUGUGUAGAUAUUUAUGUUUAAUAUGCAAGCCUUGACUUCUUUUCAAUACAUUCCGUUUCCGUUGAUAUAUACGUAUUGGGGACCGCAUGCAUGAGAAAAUAUAAUAUAUCCUACAUACAUACGUUCAGAGUGAAUCACCAGAGACUUCUAAACGUAUGAAUACAUCCAAUAUUAAACACGGUUGGUCUCUUAUUAUUGUUGUUAUCCAUCUGUGUCCAGGCAUCGGGAGUGGUGAGACACAGGUGAACUAUUUAUAACUUUUAAUGUCACUGCUGCUGUGAUUACUGUUCGCUACUGC
rnacentral:lncRNA from 1 species